rnacentral:lncRNA from 1 species
CCGAACAUAUUUUUCAAUGAAAAUGCCAUAAUAAUUACAAUUAAGCAAAAUAACAACACACAAAAAUAUUCUUAGCACGUAAGAGUUGAAACGAGGUUACCAGAUUGACGAACAACUUCUUGAAAAUUGAAAAUUGUUGAAAUUGAAACUUGAAAACUUCAAUUCAACAACUUCACAAUGUUUCACGAAUUUGCAACAAUAAAUUAAGN